CUACGGGCGGCUCCAGUGGGGAAUAUUGCACAAUGGGCGCAAGCCUGAUGCAGCCAUGCCGCGUGUAUGAAGAAGGCCUUCGGGUUGUAAAGUACUUUCAGCGGGGAGGAAGGGAGUAAAGUUAAUACCUUUGCUCAUUGACGUUACCCGCAGAAGAAGCACCGGCUAACUCCGUGCCAGCAGCCGCGGUAAUACGGAGGGUGCAAGCGUUAAUCGGAAUUACUGGGCGUAAAGCGCACGCAGGCGGUUUGUUAAGUCAGAUGGGAAAUCCCCGGGCUCAACCUGGGAACUGCAUCUGAUACUGGCAAGCUUGAGUCUCGUAGAGGGGGGUAGAAUUCCAGGUGUAGCGGUGAAAUGCGUAGAGAUCUGGAGGAAUGCCGGUGGCGAAGGCGGCCCCCUGGACGAAGACUGACGCUCAGGUGCGAAAGCGUGGGGAGCAAACAGGAUUAGAUACCCGUGUAGUC
rnacentral:rRNA from 1 species